UACGUAGGGUGCGAGCGUUAAUCGGAAUUACUGGGCGUAAAGUGUGCGCAGGCGGCCGCGCAAGUCGAGUGUGAAAGCCCCAGGCUUAACUUGGGAAUUGCGCUCGAAACUACGUGGCUGGAGUGUGGCAGAGGAAGGUGGAAUUCCAGGUGUAGCGGUGAAAUGCGUAGAGAUCUGGAGGAACACCGAUGGCGAAGGCAGCCUUCUGGGCCAACACUGACGCUCAUGCACGAAAGCGUGGGGAGCAAACAGG
rnacentral:rRNA from 1 species